GAUGAACGCUGGCGGCGUGCUUAACACAUGCAAGUCGAACGAUGAAGCCCAGCUUGCUGGGUGGAUUAGUGGCGAACGGGUGAGUAACACGUGAGUAACCUGCCCUUAACUCUGGGAUAAGCCUGGGAAACUGGGUGUAAUACCGGACAGGAGCGUCCACCGCCUGGAGGGUGUUGGAAUGAUUUAUCGGCUUUCGAUGGUUUCGCGGCCAAUCAGCUAGUUGGUGAGGUAUUGGCACACGAACGGGACGCCGGGUAGCCGGCAUGUGAGGGUGAACGGGCACACUGGGCCUGCGACACGGAGCAGACGCCUACGGGAGGCAACAGUGGGGAAUCUUGCGCAAUGAGCGCAAGCCUGAUGCAGCGGUGCCGCGUGAGGGAAAACGGCUUUCGAGUUGUAAACCUCUGUCAGUGGGGAAGAAGCGAAAGUGACGGUACCUACAGAAGAAGCACCGGCUAACUACGUG
rnacentral:rRNA from 1 species